UUCUCGAACCCUCUCUAGCUCCCUCCCUCUCUCAAAUUGAAAUUCACAAUAACAACACGAUCUACACUAAUUCCUGAAACGGUGAUGGCAUCGUUGCAGCGCCUGGUUCUGCCAAAGGCUCAAUCUUCGCUUUCCUUGGCUAGAAGUCGAGGUUUCGUCACCUGUAAUGGCUUCAUUGUUCCUCGACGUCCACUCAUGUACCGCCAAAUUUCUCAGUCCAUUAAAGAUUCAAAAGUUAAAAGUGUUGAGAAACGAUUGAACCACUCGAUCGACGGAUCAAUAUCGGCAAUAGAGCAGCUUCGAAUCUCGGCAGGCAAUCAGAAUGAGAUGUUAUUUCGAAUUGUCAUAGAGGUAUAUAUAGCUUUCUCCUUUUAAC